rnacentral:sRNA from 1 species
AAUUAGCCCCGAUUGACGCAACUGCCAUGCAGUGCAAAAAGCGGGAAAAUGG